rnacentral:lncRNA from 1 species
AUGUGUGUUGGAAAAACAGUUCGCAGAGUGCAAGGGUUUGGAAGCGCAGCAGACCAAUUCCAGGCUCCUUCACUCACUUGGAAUUGCAUCGGCUCCUGGGAGGCCAGCUGUGCAGAUUCAAGGAGCACUGUGCAGGGAGCAUUCCUGUGUGCUGGCGGAUUCCUAGUGCCCCACCCCAGGACAAGGCCCAUCGGUUCAAAUAAAAACAAUUUUCAAGAGAUUUUCUGGAAUUAUGAAGACCUGAUAAAGAUUACAUGCUGUCAUCAGAGAGUUUCUUGCAGAAAAAGAAGGACCCAUUUUUCAGUCAACAAGCUACACAAACCAAUAAAAGUGUUCAAUGAAUGUUUGUGGAGUGCUUCAUCAUUUACUUUGCAUGCAUGGAUACUAGACUUGCUCCAGCUGCAGUCUCCUCGCCUUCCCUGUGUUCCAUACAAGAGCCUUGUCUUGGCCAGAACAAUAAGGCAGGGACCUGACCCCUGUCCACACCUCCUCUGCCCUGGGCUGGGUGCCCAGCGUUCCUGCAGGCAGCAUCUCAUGCAUCAUUAG